UCCGUAGGCGGUGCGGCAAGUCGGAAGUGAAAUCUCAGGGCUUAACCCUGGGGCUGCUUCCGAAACUGCCGUGCUCGAGUGCGAGAGAGGCGAGUGGAAUUGCAGGUGUAGCGGUGAAAUGCGUAGAUAUCUGCAGGAACAUCCGAGGCGAAAGCGGCUCGCUGGAUCGCAACUGACGCUAAGGGACGAAAGCUAGGGGAGCAAGCAGGAUUAGAUACCCUGGUAGUCCUAGCCCUAAACGAUCAGGACUGGGCGUGGGCCUCGUACGGGGCUCGUGCCGCAGCUAACGCGUUAAGUCCUGCGCCUGGGGAGUACGGUCGCAAGGCUGAA
rnacentral:rRNA from 1 species